ACGGCUCAGUAACACGUAGUCAACCUAACUCGUGGACGUGGAUAACCUCGGGAAACUGAGAAUAAACCACGAUAGAUCAUAGUGCCUGGAAUGGCUUAUGGUCCAAACAGUUUACUGCCAUGGGAUGGGACUGCGGCCUAUCAGCUUGUUGGUGAGGUAAUGGCCCACCAAGGCGAUUACAGGUACGGGCUCUGAGAGGAGAAGCCCGGAGAUGGGUACUGAGACACGGACCCAGGCCCUAUGGGGCGCAGCAGGCGAGAAACCUUAGCAAUGUGCGAAAGCACGACUGGGUCAGUCCGAGUGAUUCCUGAUAAAGGAGUCUUUUGCUUGUCCUAAAAGCACAGGUGAAUAAGGGGUGGGCAAGUCUGGUGUCAGCCGCCGCGGUAAUACCAGCACCUCGAGUGGUCAGGACGUUUAUUGGGCCUAAAGCAUCCGUAGCCGGCUCUGCAAGUCUUCGGUUAAAUCCACCUGCUCAACAGAUGGGCUGCUGGAGAUACUACAGAGCUAGGGAGUGGGAGAGGCAGACGGUAUUCAGUGGGUAGGGGUAAAAUCCUCUGAUCCAUUGAGGACCACCAGUGGCGAAGGCGGUCUGCCAGAACACGUUCGACGGUGAGGGAUGAAAGCUGGGGGAGCAAACCGGAUUAGAUACCCGGGUAGUCCCAGCUGUAAACGAUGCAAACUCGGUGAUGCAUUGGCUUAUGGCCAAUGCAGUGCCGCAGGGAAGCCGUUAAGUUUGCCGCCUGGGAAGUACGGACGCAAGUCUGAAACUUAAAGGAAUUGGCGGGGGAGCAC
rnacentral:rRNA from 1 species